GCGCCAUACCGUACCACGUUUUGCCGGUGUGUGUUGCCUUCGUACUGCAGUGCUUCAUUCAUUGCCGAGCUGAAAACAAAAAGUAUAAACUUACCUUGGAACUGGUUGUGAACUCUUGUGCUAGUGGUCGGUUAUCCUGUGAAGUGCCAGGUGUUUGGCUGUGACCUUACGACGUCGUCCGUGGUGUGAUUUGGUGACGCUGCAAGACGCGCGUUGUUGCUAGUGGCUGUGUUCGUGGCAUAACUUGUCAACAACCUUCAUUACCAGUUGGCUCCUGCUCUCACUGCAGUGUCCCCAAGACCGGGGCUGUGAAAGUACGCCUCUUGCAACACUCCACCGAGUGCGUACACAGCAGUUUCUCUCCGGCUCCGAAAUGGAUAGGCCAUGCGUCAUACAUACUCCUGAAGAGCAGGCAGCUUUCGAUCAGCAACGCCGCGAGCAGAACCGGGAACGAGCUCGUCUACACCAUGCCGAUGCUGCAGACCGGGCACAAGAACAGGCUCGUGCAGCUGAGCACAAGCAGCAACUGCGUACCAUGGAUCUGGCAGCCUACCAAGCCAUCGUUUAAUGAACCAUCGGGAUUAACCCAGUGAUAAACACUGGGGCCGCACAUUUCAGCUUCGCUGGUUAACCAUUCGUAUGGAGGGC
rnacentral:lncRNA from 1 species